UGGGGAAUAUUGCACAAUGGAGGGAACUCUGAUGCAGCGACGCCGCGUGAGUGAUGAAGGAAUUCGUUUCGUAAAACUCUGUUCUAUGGGAAGAAAAGGACUGUACCAUAGGAGAAAGCUCCGGCUAAAUACGUGCCAGCAGCCGCGGUAAUACGUAUGGAGCGAGCGUUGUCCGGAAUUAUUGGGCGUAAAGGGUGCGCAGGCGGCUUUACAAGUUGGAUGUGAAAUAUUGUGGCUCAACCACAAACGUGCAUCCAAAACUGCAAAGCUUGAGUUAAGGAGAGGUAAGUGGAAUUCCUGGUGUAGCGGUGGAAUGCGAAGAUAUCAGGAGGAAUACCGGUGGCGAAGGCGACUUACUGGACUUAAACUGACGCUCAGGCACGAAAGCGUGGGGAGCAAACAGG
rnacentral:rRNA from 1 species